CCUACGGGAGGCAGCAGUUUCGAAUCAUUCACAAUGGGCGAAAGCCUGAUGGUGCGACGCCGCGUGAGGGAUGAAGGUCUUCGGAUUGUAAACCUCUGUCACCGGGGAAGAAACGCUUCAAGUUAAUAGUUUGAAGCCUGACUUAACCCGGAGAGGAAGCAGUGGCUAACUCUGUGCCAGCAGCCGCGGUAAUACAGAGACUGCAAGCGUUAUUCGGAUUCACUGGGCGUAAAGGGUGCGCAGGCGGCCAAGUGUGUGAGGCGUGAAAGCCCGGAGCUUAACUCCGGAAUUGCACCUCAAACUACUUGGCUAGAGCAUUGGAGAGGGUAGCAGAAUUCACGGUGUAGCAGUGAAAUGCGUAGAUAUCGUGAGGAAUACCAGAGGCGAAGGCGGCUACCUAGACAAUUGCUGACGCUCAGGCACGAAAGCGUGGGGAGCAAAAGGGAUUAGAUACCCCUGUAGUCCACGCCCUAAACGGUGCACACUAGGUCUUGGCGGAUUCGACCCACCAGGGCCAAGCUAACGCGUUAAGNGUGCGCCUGNGAGUACGCGCGAGNGAGACGUAAGAAGUUAGAGAGNGNGAGACGNGCCGACGGACGACGACGAGGGAGGUAGG
rnacentral:rRNA from 1 species